UGAGGGAUGACGGCCUUCGGGUUGUAAACCUCUUUCACCAGGGACGAAGCUUUUGUGACGGUACCUGGAGAAGAAGCACCGGCCAAUUACGUGCCAGCAGCCGCGGUAAUACGUAGGGUGCGAGCGUUGUCCGGAAUUACUGGGCGUAAAGAGCUCGUAGGCGGUUUGUCGCGUCGUCUGUGAAAUUCUGCAGCUUAACUGCAGGCGUGCAGGCGAUACGGGCAGACUUGAGUACUACAGGGGAGACUGGAAUUCCUGGUGUAGCGGUGAAAUGCGCAGAUAUCAGGAGGAACACCGGUGGCGAAGGCGGGUCUCUGGGUAGUAACUGACGCUGAGGAGCGAAAGCGUGGGUAGCGAACAGGAUUAGAUACCCUGGUAGUCCACGCCGUAAACGGUGGGUACUAGGUGUGGGUUCCAUUUCACGGGAUCCGUGCCGUAGCUAACGCAUUAAGUACCCCGCCUGGGGAGUACGGCCGCAAGGCUAAAACUCAAAGGAAUUGACGGGGGCCCGCACAAGCGGCGGAGCAUGUGGAUUAAUUCGAUGCAACGCGAAGAACCUUACCUGGGUUUGACAUACACCAGACGUGGGCAGAGAUGUUGAUUCCCUUGUGGUUGGUGUACAGGUGGUGCAUGGCUGUCGUCAGCUCGUGUCGUGAGAUGUUGGGUUAAGUCCCGCAACGAGCGCAACCCUUGUCCUGUAUUGCCAGCAAGUAAUGUUGGGGACUUGCAGGAGACUGCCGGGGUCAACUCGGAGGAAGGUGGGGAUGACGUCAAGUCAUCAUGCCCCUUAUGUCCAGGGCUUCACACAUGCUACAAUGGCCGGUACAGAGGGCUGCGAUACCGUGAGGUGGAGCGAAUCCCUUAAAGCCGGUCUCAGUUCGGAUCGGGGUCUGCAACUCGACCCCGUGAAGUCGGAGUCGCUAGUAAUCGCAGAUCAGCAACGCUGCGGUGAAUACGUUCCCGGGCCUUGUACACACCGCCCGUCACGUCAUGAAAGUCGGUAACACCCGAAGCCGGUGGCC
rnacentral:rRNA from 1 species